UCAAGUAAAAAAGACUUGUCCUAGAAUAAUGUGGCAAUGUCAUUGCAUUGCACAAUACUUAUUUGACAAUGUCAUUGCAAUACGCAUGAACAUUGCAUAUUAUGUGCUCACUAUAUCCUGAGUUAAACGUGUGUCAGCUUGAGAACGUCUCUGACCUUUUCGUCAAUUUACAGGAAUUUUAGGGAAAUUGCUUAUCUAGAGGACUCUUUUAACUAGGUAACAUGGACACACAGGAUUCAGUAACGCUCACGGGACUGACGGAGGAAGAAAUGAAGGCUGUACAAGAUAGCUGGACGAAACUGGCAUCUUCCUGGAAGAAAACAGGAGUAGAGUUCUUCAUCAGAUUAUUCCAGAAGUAUCCAGUAACCAAGGACGUUUUUCAAAACAUUCAAUGGCAUGAGUAUUGAAGAAAUUCGAACAGCACCCAAGAUGCGGGCACAUGCAGCCAAUUUCAAACUGGGCAUGACAUCAUUUGUUGAAAAAAAGAGAU
rnacentral:lncRNA from 1 species